AUUGAACGCUGGCGGCAGGCCUAACACAUGCAAGUCGAGCGGGAGGCGGACGGGUGGGUCAUGUAUGGGAAUCUGCCUGAUGGAGGAGGAUAACUACUGGAACCGGUAGCUAAUACCGCAUACCAUCAGUUCGACCGAGAUGGGAUGAGCUGGUAGGUGUGGUAACGGCUCACCUAGGCGACGAUCCCUAGCUGGGCUGAGAGGAUGAUCAGCAACACUGGGACUGAGACACGGCCCAGACUCCUACGGGAGGCAGCAGUGGGGAAUAUUGCACAAUGGGCGCAAGCCUGAUGCAGCCAUGCCGCGUGUAUGAAGAAGGUCUUCGGGUUGUAAAGUACUUUCAGUAGGGAGGCGGUACCGACAGAGGAAGCACCGGCUAACUACGUGCCAGCAGCCGCGGUAAUAC
rnacentral:rRNA from 1 species